rnacentral:tRNA from 1 species
UGAAAAGAUAAGCUAAGAUUAAGCUAGUAGGUUCAUACCCUAAAUAUAGAAUUUCUUCUUUUUAA